rnacentral:snoRNA from 1 species
ACCCUUCAGAUUUCUUACCCUUCAGAUCUAAAUAUUGGUCUGAGUGGCAAAACAGGAGGAAAGUAAAACUGAAGUGGCCUUGGAGUCUUUAAUGACAUACACGUUCAUUUCAAACAAAC